rnacentral:lncRNA from 1 species
UCAGGUAAGCUCUCCUCUGAUACUUCCUUUGGAAAACAUUCUUUUUUUUUUUUUUUAAUUGAAUUAGGCAUUUCUUAUUUUUCACCAAGCUUCCCUGGUGGCUCAGACAGUAAAGAGUCUGCUUGCAAUUCAGGAGAUCUGGGUUCAACCCCUGGGUAAAGAAGAUCCCCUGGAGAAAGAAAUGGCAACCCGCCCCAGUAUUCUUGCCUGGAGAAUUCCAUGGACAAAGGAGCCUGGUGGGCUACAGUUCAUGGGGUCGUAAAGAGUCAGAUGUGACUAACACAUAUUUCAUAAUUAGGAGUGUUACUCAUUCAUUCUUUUUUUUUCAGGUAUAUUAGCAGCUAUAGUAAAUGAGAAGACUGCCUUGCCAGUAACAGAGUAUUUACUGAUAGAGCACAAGCCCUUUCUGUUUGAAGGUUUCAGGUCCCAACUAUUCAUUUGUAUAACUACCUAGUGAGGAAGAUAAAAGUAGUAAAUCAUCCAGGAGAAAGAAUCAAGAGGAUAAUUCCAAAUGUUCAGUGAUAACUUACCAUGGCUUCUGUUGAGGCCCGGCCGAACAGAAGAAGAUGGAAACAAUGUGUGCUGUAAUUUUAACAUCAGAGCAACCAAAAAUCAUACAGAUUCGAGUGAAGAACAAACACACUAAGGGAUGUUUUUGACAUCCCCAGUGUUUUAGGCCGACUUUGACUGUACCUUUGUCUGAAAUCAAUGUAUCAAAUAUGUCUUUGGUUUUGGGCUGGCAAGUGUGAACAUACUGUGUAAGUUACAAGGGGGAAAAUGAAUGUCAGUCUACACUGUUACUAGAAAUAUACCUGCUGGUCAUGCUUGAAAUUCUGUCCAAAACUAAAAAUCUUAUAUCUUCUAAGGCUCACGUGUCUUUCUGUAUGCUAUUUUUAGAAUGUUCACAGAUGCAAACAAAUACUGUCUUCUAAUGACCGCUUAUUCCAAAAGAAGUUCUGAAUAAAG